GGGAUCAACAGUGAGAGUGUGUUAUAUACCAAGAAUCAUGAUUAAUCCAAUUCUGCGCACCAAGUCUAUG
rnacentral:snoRNA from 1 species